AGCGAACGCUGGCGGCAGGCCUAACACAUGUAAGUCGAACGAAGUCUUCGGACUUAGUGGCGGACGGGUGAGUAACACGUGGGAACGUACCUUUUGGUUCGGAACAACUCAGGGAAACUUGAGCUAAUACCGGAUGAGCCCUUAGGGGGAAAGAUUUAUCGCCGAAAGAGCGGCCCGCGUUAGAUUAGCUAGUUGGUGAGGUAAAGGCUCACCAAGGCUACGAUCUAUAGCUGGUCUGAGAGGAUGAUCAGCCACACUGGGACUGAGACACGGCCCAGACUCCUACGGGAGGCAGCAGUGGGGAAUCUUGCGCAAUGGGCGAAAGCCUGACGCAGCCAUGCCGCGUGAAUGAUGAGGGUCUUAGGAUUGUAAAAUUCUUUUACCAGGGACGAUAAUGACGGUACCUGGAGAAAAAGCCCCGGCUAACUUCGUGCCAGCCGCCGCCGUAAAAC
rnacentral:rRNA from 1 species